AACGAACGCUGGCGGCAGGCUUAACACAUGCAAGUCGAACGCCCCGCAAGGGGAGUGGCAGACGGGUGAGUAACGCGUGGGAACAUACCCUUUCCUGCGGAAUAGCUCUGGGAAACUGGAAUUAAUACCGCAUACGCCCUACGGGGGAAAGAUUUAUCGGGGAAGGAUUGGCCCGCGUUGGAUUAGCUAGUUGGUGGGGUAAAGGCCUACCAAGGCGACGAUCCAUAGCUGGUCUGAGAGGAUGAUCAGCCACAUUGGGACUGAGACACGGCCCAAACUCCUACGGGAGGCAGCAGUGGGGAAUGUUGGACAAUGGGCGCAAGCCUGAUCCAGCCAUGCCGCGUGAGUGAUGAAGGCCUUAGGGUUGUAAAGCUCUUUCACCGAUGAAGAUAAUGACGGUAGUCGGAGAAGAAGCCCCGGCUAACUUCGUGCCAGCCGCCGCGGUAACAC
rnacentral:rRNA from 1 species